CAAUAGCGUAUAUUAAAGUUGUUGCAGUUAAAAAGCUCGUAGUUGGAUUUGUGGCGUACGGUGUGUUCCGGGCACUUGUUGUCUGAGUAACCUGCUGUUGCCAUCCUUGGGUGGAACCUGUGUGGCAUUAGGUUGUCGUGCAGGGGAUGCCCAUCAUUUACUGUGAAGAAAUUAGAGUGUUCAAAGCAGGCUUAUGCCGUUGAAUAUAUUAGCAUGGAAUAAUGAGAUAGGACUUUUUUGCUAUUUUGUUGGUUUGCGCAAAGAGGUAAUGAUUAAUAGGGACAGUUGGGGGUAUUCGUAUUCCAUUGUCAGAGGUGAAAUUCUUGGAUUUUUGGAAGACGAACUACUGCGAAAGCAUUUACCAAGGAUGUUUUCAUUAA
rnacentral:rRNA from 1 species